GACGAACGCUGGCGGCGUGCUUAACACAUGCAAGUCGAGCGGAAAGGCCCUUUGGGGUACUCGAGCGGCGAACGGGUGAGUAACACGUGAGUAAUCUGCCCUGCACUUUGGGAUAACUGCCGGAAACGGUGGCUAAUACCGGAUAUGACUCCUUGCUGCAUGGUGGGGGUGGAAGUUUUUCGGUUGCGGGAUGUGCUCGCGGCCUAUCAGCUUGAUGGUGGGGUAAUGGCCUACCAUGGCUUCGACGGGUAGCCGGCCUGAGAGGGUGACCGGCCACACUGGGACUGAGACACGGCCCAGACUCCUACGGGAGGCAG
rnacentral:rRNA from 1 species